GGAUAUAUCACACGAGUGCGUCCAAUGACAGUCGAUGUUUUGUCACCCACGUGCCUAGGGGUGGAGCUAUAAAAUUGAUCAGAACCUGUCACUGUGAUAUGUUUCCCGCCAAUUUCUGACACGUUUUGUUUUCUGUCACAGUAGCCCAUUCAUUUCUAGUGAGACUGUCAACCAUGACGGAUCAGUUACUGAUCACUGAUGUCGAUGUGUUCACUGACCUCGACGAUAUAACAUUAUCACAGGCCGUAGAUAAGUAUGAGUAUGAACUUGAAGAUAGUGACACGGUAGCUACUGACAUUGGAAUAGUUGAUACCAAGGAAUUAACUCAGCCAAUUGUUGUAAAUGAACUGAAUGGUAAUGUGAAAAACAUGUGAAAGGCUGCAGGAUUCGAGGGAAAUUACAUAAACCAUUCCGGAAAGAGGACCUGCGCUACUUCCCUUUACCAAGCAGGUUUUGAUGAACAACUCAUUAUGGACAGAACGGUACAUCGCAGCAGGGCUGUACGUGCAUACAAGGUGAAGAAAGAAGACGGAAAAUUUCUAAACGGCACUCGUAUUUCAUUAAAUUUUGUUCGAAAUGCAUUUCCUGUCUUUGUUCAUUUGUCACGCCUACAUUUGAAAUUGGCCCCGCCUCAAGACUGAGGCAUGGACCAAUCAGAAAUGCCAUGUGAUAUUUCAGAUAUCACAUAAGUGAUAUUUGAAAUAUCACAUAGUAUGCAAUAUAUCGCCAACAAAAGAUCAAAGAAAAACCGAGGCGUCAUUGGAUAAUGGUUGGUGAUUUUUGUAUGUUUUGUUAUGUCAUAGCCUCAUAGGUGAUACAGAGUAACAAUGUUACAUUGUUGUAAUACAUUGUAAUACAUUGUAAUAUUGAGUAUUACGUUGGUAUCAAUGAUAUGUUAGUAGAAUGCUUAUCAUGAUUCAUUAGACUUUUGACAUAAAAUCCAUUCAUUGUUGUUUGACCUUGACUUCAAAUUACUUAAUCGUUGAACAUUCAUUUUGCCAAAUGAACAAUUGAGCAAUAUCCUUUAAUGUUGAUUCCAAUACAUGAAAUUGAUCACAUUCUGAAUUGUAUUUAAGUAAAUGACAGGUGUUGCAUAUGCUUAAGAUAUAUUUUUAUAUGCUUAACAUAUAUUUAUAUGAAUAAAAUGUCUGAACAUGAG